UGGAAUCACAGCUAAAAAUUUUAAUGGGGUU
rnacentral:piRNA from 1 species